rnacentral:rRNA from 1 species
UACGGAGGGAGCUAGCGUUAUCCGGAAUCACUGGGCGUAAAGGGUAUGUAGGCGGUUGUGUUAGUCUUUCGUGAAAGGCUUUGGGCUUAACCCAGAGACCGCGGAGGAAACGGCACGACUUUUAGAGGAUGUGAGAGGUAAAGGGAACUCAAGGUGUAGGGGUGAAAUCCGUUGAUAUCUUGGGGAACACCAAAAGCGAAGGCACUUUACUGGCACACUCCUGACGCUGAAAUACGAAAGCGUGGGUAGCGAACGGG